rnacentral:misc_RNA from 1 species
GAUGAAGAACGUAGCGAAAUGCGAUAAGUAAUGUGAAUUGCAGAAUUCAGUGAAUCAUCGAAUCUUUGAACGCACAUUGCGCCCAUUAGUAUUCUAGUGGGCAUGCCUGUUCGAGCGUCAUUAAGUCCACUUAAGCCCUGCUUAGUGUUGGGAGACUGCUCCAGCGGUGCUACCCUGUAGCUACCCUGCAGCUCCUCAAAGACAGCGGCGGAGUUGUGGUAUCCUCUGAGCUUAGUAACUUGUUCUAGCUUUCGAGUACACCACUUCCCCUGCCGUAAAACCCUUAAUUUUUAAUGGUUGACCUCGGAUCAGGUAGGAACACCCGCUGAACUUAAGCAUAUCAAUAAGCGGAGGA